rnacentral:rRNA from 1 species
GAUCCUAGGAGGAAAUAUCUCGGUGGCGAAAGGCGGCCCCCCCUGGACAAAACGAUCUGACGCUCAGGUGCGAAAAGCGUGGGGGAGCAAACAGGAUUAGAUACCCCUGGUAGUCCACGCCGUAAACGAUGUCGACUUGGAGGUUGUGCCCUUGAGGCGUGGCUUCCGGAGCUAACGCGUUAAGUCGACCGCCUGGGGAGUACGGCCGCAAGGUUAAAACUCAAAUGAAUUGACGGGGGCCCGCACAAGCGGUGGAGCAUGUGGUUUAAUUCGAUGCAACGCGAAGAACCUUACCUACUCUUGACAUCCAGAGAACUUUCCAGAGAUGGAUUGGUGCCUUCGGGAACUCUGAGACAGGUGCUGCAUGGCUGUCGUCAGCUCGUGUUGUGAAAUGUUGGGUUAAGUCCCGCAACGAGCGCAACCCUUAUCCUUUGUUGCCAGCGGUUAGGCCGGGAACUCAAAGGAGACUGCCAGUGAUAAACUGGAGGAAGGUGGGGAUGACGUCAAGUCAUCAUGGCCCUUACGAGUAGGGCUACACACGUGCUACAAUGGCGCAUACAAAGAGAAGCGACCUCGCGAGAGCAAGCGGACCUCAUAAAGUGCGUCGUAGUCCGGAUUGGAGUCUGCAACUCGACUCCAUGAAGUCUGGAAUCGCUAGUAAUCGUGGAUCAGAAUGCCA